rnacentral:tRNA from 1 species
GGUCCAUUAGCUCAGUUGGCAGAGCACGUGACUUUUAAUCACGGUGUCCCGGGUUCGAGUCUCGGAUGGAUCACCA